GAUGAAGAACGUAGCGAAACGCGAUAAGUAAUGUGAAUUGCAGAAUUCAGUGAAUCAUCGAAUCUUUGAACGCACAUUGCGCCCCCUGGUAUUCCGGGGGGCAUGCCUGUUCGAGCGUCAUUUCACCACUCAAGCCUCGCUUGGUAUUGGGCAACGCGGUCCGCCGCGUGCCUCAAAUCGACCGGCUGGGUCUUCUGUCCCCUAAGCGUUGUGGAAACUAUUCGCUAAAGGGUGUUCGGGAGGCUACGCCGUAAAACAACCCCAUUUCUAAGGUUGACCUCGGAUCAGCUAGGGAUACCCGCUGAACUUAAGCAUAUCAAUAAGCGGAGGA
rnacentral:misc_RNA from 1 species